CCGGAGACGGUGCUCGCGACGGGGGCGUCGUCCUCUUGUACUAAGUCAAAACGACUCUCGGCAACGGAUAUCUCGGCUCUCGCA
rnacentral:rRNA from 1 species